rnacentral:lncRNA from 1 species
ACUACACGGCGCAAUGCCCAACUUUAGCUCGGCAACGCUGCCACUGUGAGCGUUCGACUGAUAGAGCAAGCGGGAGCUGUGUUUGAGGUCUGGCAACAAUCGCAUCCCAACAGCUGAGAGCAUGGCGCAUGGCUGAGAACCAAGAUAAUUUGCGCCGGCAUUUGUCGGCUGCUCUUUGUUUCCUAGUGUUUUAUUGGUGACUGACGUUGCGGUUGUUAAUCGCGGUUAUGAUGGGUGAUUUCGUGCUUGUGCGUAUGGUGACCGAGCCUGAAUGAUUUCUGAGGCCACAGAUGGAACGGCCGAUGGGCAGCUUUGUUUACCUUCAAGACCGAGCGGUGCUGUGAGUUUGCUGAAAGCAACAACAGGACAGAAAAUAUGGGAUGUGGGCUUUGGAAGGACCAGCUGAUGAAAAAAUCAACGCCUGUGCUGCACAGUAAGGCUUCUGGCAGACCUGAAAGCAUCGAUAGAUAUGGUGCCUGCCUGUUAAAAUUGCAGCAGCUCGCUUCCCUGAAAGCUAGGCGCUGAAGAAGUACUUGACUAACCUACCCGCAUUGUCAGUGUGACAGUCUGCAUCACCAUUUGGCCUAUUUUGGGAUCCCACAAGACACGCUGCUACCCUGGGUGUUGUACCUCGGUCAAUAGCUGAAAUUCUGCAAGCCCCAUCGAAGCCAACUGUCAUCCGCAUCCAAUGGAAGAAACUCAUUGUUCGGGUUGUCAUAAUUUACCUUAAGCUGAAGCUAGAAGCAGGGUAGAAACAGCAUAUAUUCUAAAAGAAUUUACCACUGCAUGCCAUCGGGUGGCUACACCCAACAGGCUACUGUCUUGAACAGAGAUGGUGUUUUAUCCUAGAAUAUCUUUGUCAGCAGUACUACUCCUUCUGUUUAUAUCCUUGGAAACAAACAAGGAAGACUCCAAAGGCAACAUAGGAGAAAUUACUGGUACUUACUAAUUGAAAUAAAGAAAUGACAAAUUAAUGGCAAUGAAAGUGGAUGAGAAAACAACUUGCCAUAGGCGUGCGAUGCUCUAACCAAUUGUGCUACCGCGGCGCCGUUUUCCCAUCCACUUUUUGUGUAUUUAUAUUUUACUACUAGAACGAACUACUACUACUACUAGAACUAGAUCAUUCCCCACCUGCAGCAAGUUGUUUUUUCAUUCACUUUCAUUGAUAUUAAUUUAUAAUUUCAUUAAUUCAAUUAGUAAGUACAAGUAAUUUUCCCUAUGUUGUCUUUGGUGAUUUUGCUUGUUGGCUUCUCAAGAUAUGAUUAUUAAAAAUCGCGUCCCUCGGUUAACCCCCUUUCUUAAUUCUCCUUCACUACUGCUUCUGUUUGUAGGAUAAGCGUUCACGCUUUAUUGCAUACUAUCAAAGUACAAAAAGGCGAGAAUAAUGUUAAUUUAUUAUUUUAGAAAAAAAAUUGGCACUUGAAUUGACCAGAAAUUAUUAAGGGGUACAUACUGUCUUAAUAAAUAUGACUGAAGAAAGGACAUCUGGAUGAAAAAUACAAUGACUUCAGCUACAACGUGCCUAUGAAGGCAAAUCCAUGCAGUCAAACUGCUUUUAGUGGUGAUGUUUGAGCUGGCAGGAUGUCAGAAAAGUGAUAGAUGUCUUAAGCAGAAUAUUUUGACGGCUAUUAUAGUGCAGCAGGACAUUAACUGGACCUCUCCUCUACUUGCACACCAGUGCAAGCGCAGCAUACACAGCACAGUUGGAAAUGCAGUUGCUCUUCGUGCGUGUGUUGGCAACCGGGUUCCUGCAUAAGAGAAAAGGUUGGUAAUUAACAUAGAAUGACUUUAAAAAAGGUCCAUGAAAACUAGCUUAGGUAUUGUAUUCGUUGUCUUUAGUUUACAUUUCGUAAUAAUGCAUUCGUUUAAGAAUUUUGUGUUCUAGAGCGCGAUUUUUUACAUUAUUUAGCUCAUACUGUUUUUAUUUAUUUUUAUUUGCAAAGAAACAUUUUUCAGCUAGUCUACCGCUUGCUCAGCAAGACCGACAACAGCGAUAUAACACUUACAUAAUGCACCCUAUAGAGAGCUGGGAUGUUCGCAAUAAAGGUGUGCGAUAUAUAUCUGCUACCACUUGCUAGCACUGUCUGUAUUAGGAGCUGUCACUACACUGCUACACCUUUAUUUAUCGGAAUAAAAAAUAAUGUGAUGUACAAAAACUCUA